AUGUCUUUCUCUUUUUGGAAUCAACACCAACAAUGUUUUGGCAUUCAAUGGAUUUCGGAGACCGAAACAAACUUUUGUCUCAACUUCUUCACCAUAAAUCUAUUAUCAUUGCCCAUCUUCAAUUCAACAAGCUUAGUGUGUGUUUGGAAUAGCUUUUCUUUCACCCCACCACAAGUCUACGCACAUCUACAUGCACUUUCACCGUGGAAACUUCUGGGCCACCAUGCAUGCAUCUGA